GACGAACGCUGGCGGCGUGCUUAACACAUGCAAGUCGAGCGGUAAGGCCCUUUCGGGGUACGACGAGCGGCGAACGGGUAGGAGUAACAACGUGGGUGGACCUCGCCCUCCAGCUCUGGGAGUAAGCCUGGGAAACCGGGUCUAAUACUGGAUAUGACUCCAUGACGCAUGUUGUGGGGUGGAAAGCCUUGUGCGGCUGAGGAUGGGCCCGCGGCCUAUCAGCUUGUUGGUGGGGUGANGGCCUACCAAGGCGACGACGGGUAGCCGGCCUGAGAGGGCGACCGGCCACACUGGGACUGAGACACGGCCCAGACUCCUACGGGAGGCAGCAGUGGGGAAUCUUGCGCAAUGGGCGAAAGCCUGACGCAGCGACGCCGCGUGAGGGAUGACGGCC
rnacentral:rRNA from 1 species